rnacentral:rRNA from 1 species
UACGGGGGAGCAAGCGUUGUUCGGAUUUACUGGGCGUAAAGGGCGCGUAGGCGGCCACCGCAAGUCGACUGUGAAAUCUCUGGCUUAACCCAGAAAGGUCAGCCGAUACUGCGGGGCUAGAGUGCAGAAGGGGCAACUGGAAUUCUCGGUGUAGCGGUGAAAUGCGUAGAGAUCCGGAGGAACACCAGAGGCGAAAGCGGCGCUCUGGGCUGCACCUGACGCUGAACUGCGAAAGCCAGGGAGCGAACGGG